rnacentral:rRNA from 1 species
CCUACGGGAGGCAGCAGUGGGGAAUAUUGGACAAUGGGGGCAACCCUGAUCCAGCCAUGCCGCGUGUGUGAAGAAGGCCCUCGGGUUGUAAAGCACUUUCAGUGAGGAAGAACGCCUGGUGGUUAAUACCCAUCAGGAAAGACAUCACUCACAGAAGAAGCACCGGCUAACUCCGUGCCAGCAGCCGCGGUAAUACGGAGGGUGCGAGCGUUAAUCGGAAUUACUGGGCGUAAAGCGCGCGUAGGUGGCUUGAUAAGCCGGUUGUGAAAGCCCCGGGCUCAACCUGGGAACGGCAUCCGGAACUGUCAAGCUAGAGUGCAGGAGAGGAAGGUAGAAUUCCCGGUGUAGCGGUGAAAUGCGUAGAGAUCGGGAGGAAUACCAGUGGCGAAGGCGGCCUUCUGGACUGACACUGACACUGAGGUGCGAAAGCGUGGGUAGCAAACAGGAUUAGAUAUCCUGGUAGUC